AAGCUUUGCAUUGUUGAGUAGUUUUUCUUUGCGUGCAGUCUAUGGAUAGUAGUAAUAAAUUCACACCUCACACCAGCAUAUCAAUAUCAAUAUCAAAAUCAAAGGAAAUAAAUAAAUAAAGGGGAAAAAAAUUUAAAUUAAUUACCGAUAAUAAGUCACAUUCAUAAGAGAUGAAAUGAGAAAAAUCAAAAGAGGAAGACAACCUUAUUACCUUACAAUUACUGAAUUGCAUUUCUGAAAUUGAUGUUUGUUUUUUCAUAAACACACAUAUGCAUGCUUUGUAAGACAUUUUCUUGUGUUCUAAAACUCAUCCAUCACCUACCACUGAUAACUCCACCCCUUCUUUUUUCUUCAUCUUUUUUUUUUUUUAUCAUCACAACAAUUCAAUUCAAUUCAACCUUUUUUUUUUCUAUGUAUUUUUUUUUUGUUCUUCAGAUAGCUCCAUUUCAUCUUAGAUUCAUUCAUAACCACUCACAUUUUCCACACCCCAUAUAAACAAUUUUCAUCUAUAUACAUAUUGUUGCUUUUGUUGACACUUUCCUAGAUUUAGGGUAUAAAAAAGAACAAACCUUUUUGUUUUGUUCUUUUGUUUGUGUUUCUUAACUUGUCACACUGUUGAUUCUGAGAUCUGGGUUUUGAAGGUUGUCACUUAAGGUAUAUUACCAAGGCUUCUUUCUUUUUUUUUUUUGGUAAGAAAUGGGUUCUAAUCUUAAUACAGAAUUAUCAAAGAAAACUCCUAUUUUUGGUAUAAAGGUUUGGGAAAUAAUUGCAAUUGUAGUUGCUUUGUCUAUUAUAGUUAUCCUUUCUGUGUUCUCACUUUGUCUUACUUCAAGAAAGAAAUCUAGAAAAGCAAGGGAUAAGAUUCCUGUUACUGAGAUACCAAAUGUGUCAAAGGAAAUUACGGAAGUGAGGGUUGAACAACUAUCAUCAACAAAUGGAUUUGUUCCUAGUGACAGAGAAUCAGAUAAAGUUAUGGUUCAUUUAGGUGUAGGGAAAAUGAAGAAUGGUGAUAGUAGUAGCCAUUCAGAUUCAUUUCAUCAAUACAUGGAGAAAGAUGGUGGUUCAUAUUCACAAUCAGGAGAAGAAAGUAGUUGUGGCACAGUUACUGUAUAUAAGAAGAACUCUUCUUCUUCAUACCCUUUAACAGCUCCUUCACCUUUAUGUGGUCUUCCUGAAUUUUCUCACUUAGGUUGGGGUCAUUGGUUUACUUUGAGGGAUCUUGAACUUGCUACGAAUCGAUUUGCCAAAGAAAACGUGCUUGGUGAAGGUGGGUAUGGAGUGGUUUAUAAGGGACAUUUGAUCAAUGGGAGUCCAGUUGCUGUUAAAAAGAUACUCAAUAAUACUGGUCAAGCAGAGAAAGAAUUUAGAGUGGAAGUUGAAGCUAUUGGCCAUGUUAGACACAAAAACUUGGUUCGCCUUUUGGGAUACUGCGUUGAGGGAAUUCAUAGGAUGUUAGUCUACGAGUAUGUCAAUAAUGGAAACUUGGAGCAAUGGCUUCAUGGAGCUAUGCGUCACCAUGGCUAUCUUACUUGGGAAGCACGUACCAAGGUUCUCCUAGGCACAGCCAAAGCGCUUGCAUAUUUGCAUGAAGCAAUUGAGCCAAAGGUGGUACACCGAGAUAUCAAGUCGAGCAACAUAUUAAUCGAUGAUGAUUUCAAUGCCAAGGUUUCUGAUUUUGGCCUGGCAAAAUUAUUGGGUGCUGGGAAGAGUCAUGUCACAACCCGAGUUAUGGGAACCUUUGGAUAUGUGGCUCCUGAAUAUGCAAACACCGGCCUUCUAAACGAGAAGAGCGAUGUUUAUAGCUUUGGUGUUUUGCUAUUGGAAGGAAUUACAGGAAGAGAUCCAGUUGAUUAUGGUCGUCCGACAAAUGAAGUGAAUCUAGUUGACUGGAUGAAGAUGAUGGUUGGAAGCAGAAGAUCAGAAGAAGUGGUGGACCCAAACAUUGAGGUGAAACCAUCAACUAGAGCUUUGAAACGGGCUCUCUUAACCGCUUUAAGAUGUGUUGAUCCAGAUUCUGAGAAAAGGCCCAAGAUGAGCCAAGUUGUACGAAUGCUGGAGUCCGAGGAAUACCCUUUAGCAAGAGAGGACCGAAGGCACAGAAGAAGAAAUCAAGGGGGUAGUGCAGAAAUUGAAUCUCAGAGGGAAUUUUCUGACACAGACAAGAGUGAGAUUCAGAGUUAUAGAGAAGAGAUCAGAGGGUAACAGCACACAUGAUCCAAACAAGGAUUCAUUUUGAGAUUCAAUGGUUUAAUGGGAUGUAUAAAGUAAUAAAAAUUAUUUGCGGUGAGCGUGGAUCGAACACGCGACCUUCAGAUCUUCAGUCUGACGCUCUCCCAACUGAGCUAUCCCCGCUGAUGAAAAUUGUGGUAUAUACAAUACUUAAAUAGAAAGAAUCAUAUCAAAGAGAUUCCAAUUUCACGAAUGUUUCAACUUGCAACCUACUUUGGAAUAAUAAAGGUGUGUUUGGGAA